rnacentral:rRNA from 1 species
UACACUUUAAAUCCUUUAACGAGGAUCAAUUGGAGGGCAAGUCUGGUGCCAGCAGCCGCGGUAAUUCCAGCUCCAAUAGCGUAUAUUAAAGUUGUUGCAGUUAAAAAGCUCGUAGUUGGAUCUCAGGAUUUGGAUGGAUGGUUCGCUUUCGGGCGCUACUAUCUGUCUGACCUACUCUAGUCGUGGAUGCCUUGGGUGCUCUUAAUUGAGUGCUUUUGGUGCCCGACGCAAUUACUUUGAAAAAAUUAGAGUGCUCAAAGCAGGCGUAUUGCCUGAAUAGUGUUGCAUGGAAUAAUGAAAUAGGAGUUUACUUCUAUUUUGUUGGUUUUCGGAGGUGAACUAAUGAUUAACAGGGACAGACGGGGGCAUUUGUAUGGAGGGGUUAGAGGUGAAAUUCUUGGAUCCUCUCCAGACAAACUACUGCGAAAGCAUUUGCCAGGAAUGUUUUCACUAAUCAAGAACGAAAGUCAGAGGUUCGAAGACGAUCAGAUACCGUCCUAGUUCUGACCAUAAAUGAUGCCAUCUAACAAUCCACGAAGUUUGCUUGUACGAACUCGUGGGCGGUCCCCGGGAAACCAAAGAUUUUGGGUUCCGGGGGAAGUAUGGUUGCAAAGCUGAAACUUAAAGGAAUUGACGGAAGGGCACCACCAGGAGUGGAGCCUGCGGCUUAAUUUGACCCAACACGGGAAACCUCACCCGGCCCGGACACUUUUAGGAUUGACAGAUUGAAGGCUCUUUCUUGAUCAAGUGGUUGGUGGUGCAUGGCCGUUCUUAGUUGGUGGAGCGAUUUGUCUGGUUAAUUCCGAUAACGAACGAGACUCUACUCUGCUAAAUAGAACGUUGAUAUAUAAAAGUCAGUGCUGACUUCUUAGAGAGACUAACGGCGUUUAGCCGUGUGAGAAAGAGCAAUAACAGGUCUGUGAUGCCCUUAGAUGUCCGGGGCCGCACGCGCGCUACACUGACUGCAGCAACUAGUAUGCUCCUGGUUUGAAAAAACUGGGUAACCUGGUUGAAUUGCAGGCGUGACAGGGAUCAGAGUUUGCAAUUAUCCUCUGUGAACGAGGAAUUCCCAGUAAGCGCAAGUCAUUAGCUUGUGCUGAUUACGUCCCUGCCCUUUGUACACACCGCCCGUCGCUACUACCGAUUGAAUGGUUUAGUGAGGUCUUCGGAUUGGUGCUGAUGGAGUGGUUCUCUGCUCUGUUAGUGCCGAGAAGAUGAUCAAACUUGAUCAUUUAGAGGAAGUAAAAGUCGUAACAAGGU